CGGAGGAUCCAAGCGUUAUCCGGAAUCAUUGGGUUUAAAGGGUCCGUAGGCGGGUUUAUAAGUCAGUGGUGAAAGCCCAUCGCUCAACGAUGGAACGGCCAUUGAUACUGUAGAUCUUGAAUUAUUAGGAAGUAACUAGAAUAUGUAGUGUAGCGGUGAAAUGCUUAGAGAUUACAUGGAAUACCAAUUGCGAAGGCAGGUUACUGCUAAUGGAUUGACGCUGAUGGACGAAAGCGUGGGUAGCGAACAGGAUUAGAUACCCUGGUAGUCCACGCCGUAAACGAUGGAUACUAGCUGUUCGGAGCAAUCUGAGUGGCUAAGCGAAAGUGAUAAGCAUCCCACCUGGGGAGUACGUUCGCAAGAAUG
rnacentral:rRNA from 1 species